CGCGUAGGCGGCCUGGUAUGUCAGGGGUGAAAUCCCUCGGCUCAACCGAGGAACUGCCUCUGAAACUGCCAGGCUUGAGACCGGGAGAGGGUAGUGGAAUUCCCAGUGUAGCGGUGAAAUGCGUAGAUAUUGGGAGGAACACCAGUGGCGAAGGCGGCUGCCUGGACCGGUUCUGACGCUGAGGCGCGAAAGUGUGGGGAGCAAACA
rnacentral:rRNA from 1 species